CGUCAGCUGCAUCCUGGUCGCCCUCAUCUGCAUCCUGCUCCUCAUCUGUUCCUCUCGUCGUCCGCUCCCUCGUCUUCACGUAACAGAUCUGCUCCGAGAGUUCUCCAAGGACAGCAUUCGCCUCGUCAAGCGCUGCCACAAGCCCGAUCGCAAAGAAUUCUCCAAGGUCGCGCUCCGGACAGCGAUCGGGUUCGUCGUGAUGGGUUUCGUCGGGUUCUUCGUCAAGCUGAUCUUCAUCCCCAUC